rnacentral:rRNA from 1 species
UACAGAGGAGCCAAGCGUUGUCCGGAUUGACUGGGCGUAAAGCGCACGCAGGUGGCUGAGUCAGUCGAUUGUGAAAGCCCUGGGCUUAACCUGGGAAUUGCAGUCGAUACUACUCAGCUAGAGUAUGGGAGAGGGUAGUGGAAUUCCCGGUGUAGCGGUGAAAUGCGUAGAUAUCGGGAGGAACAUCAGUGGCGAAGGCGGCUACCUGGCCCAAUACUGACGCUCAUGUGCGAAAGCGUGGGGAGCAAACAGGG